rnacentral:rRNA from 1 species
AAUGAACGCUGGCGGCAUGCCUAACACAUGCAAGUCGAACGAGACCUUCGGGUCUAGUGGCGCACGGGUGCGUAACGCGUGGGAACCUGCCCUUAGGUUCGGAAUAACUCCCCGAAAGGGGUGCUAAUACCGGAUAAUGUCUUCGGACCAAAGAUUUAUCGCCUUUGGAUGGGCCCGCGUUGGAUUAGCUAGUUGGUAGGGUAAAAGCCUACCAAGGCGACGAUCCAUAGCUGGUCUGAGAGGAUGAUCAGCCACACUGGGACUGAGACACGGCCCAGACUCCUACGGGAGGCAGCAGUGGGGAAUAUUGGACAAUGGGCGAAAGCCUGAUCCAGCAAUGCCGCGUGAGUGAUGAAGGCCUUAGGGUUGCAAAGCUCUUUUACCCGGGAUGAUAAUGACAGUACCGGGAGAAUAAGCUCCGGCUAACUCCGUG